rnacentral:rRNA from 1 species
UGGGGAAUAUUGCACAAUGGGCGCAAGCCUGAUGCAGCCAUGCCGCGUGUAUGAAGAAGGCCUUCGGGUUGUAAAGUACUUUCAGCGGGGAGGAAGGCGCUAAGGUUAAUAACCUUGUCGAUUGACGUUACCCGCAGAAGAAGCACCGGCUAACUCCGUGCCAGCAGCCGCGGUAAUACGGAGGGUGCAAGCGUUAAUCGGAAUUACUGGGCGUAAAGCGCACGCAGGCGGUCUGUCAAGUCGGAUGUGAAAUCCCCGGGCUCAACCUGGGAACUGCAUUCGAAACUGGCAGGCUAGAGUCUUGUAGAGGGGGGUAGAAUUCCAGGUGUAGCGGUGAAAUGCGUAGAGAUCUGGAGGAAUACCGGUGGCGAAGGCGGCCCCCUGGACAAAGACUGACGCUCAGGUGCGAAAGCGUGGGGAGCAAACA